rnacentral:lncRNA from 1 species
UUCGGUAAUUUUUGUUUACCGAAGGAUUUUCCGACGGCCUCUACAGGAGUACUUUACGGAAGGAUUUUGGCCUUCGGUACUUGACAUGGGACAUUACCGAAGGAAUUUGACCUUCGGUAAGUUGAUGGUGUAUAAUUAAGAAAAUGUGAUUUUUCCCUCCCUUAUUUCGCGAAAUCUAUCUUCCAGCAAUAUUCAGAUUCUCCGUCCUUCUUGCCUUAACUCCUUCUCCUAACUCCCUUUGCAGCUUAUGCACAG